rnacentral:piRNA from 1 species
UCGAUAGCUCUUCUUUCAAUAUAUCUCUGC